UUGAACGCUGGCGGCAGGCCUAACACAUGCAAGUCGAGCGGUUGAGAGUAGCUUGCUACUUGAUGCAGCGGCGGACGGGUGAGUAACGCGUGGGAAUCUGCCCAGUAGUGGGGGACAACAGCCGGAAACGGCUGCUAAUACCGCAUACGCCCUACGGGGGAAAGGGGGGGAUCUUCGGACCUCUCGCUAUUGGAUGAGCCCGCGUCGGAUUAGCUAGUUGGUAGGGUAAAGGCCUACCAAGGCUACGAUCCGUAACUGGUCUGAGAGGAUGAUCAGUCACAAUGAAACUGAGACACGGUCCAGACGCCUACGGGAGGCAGCAGGGGGGAAUAUUGGACAAGGGGUGAAACCCUGAGCCAGCCAUGCCGCGUGUGAAGAAGGCCUUAGGGUUGUAAAGCACUUUCAGUGGGGAGAAAGGUUUGUCACCUAAUACGUGAUGAAAUUGAUGUUACCCACAGAAGAAGCACCGGCUAACUCCGUGCCAGCCGCCGCGGUAAGAC
rnacentral:rRNA from 1 species